GGAGGAAGAGACAUUCAACCUCUUGUUGACACCUUGUGACCCUGCACCUACAGCUCCUGCCACAGCCCCAUCCACCUCGCAUUCACCUCCUGGACCAAGUUCCCCACCCUCAUCUCCCCCGCUCUCCAACUCAAAAGAGAGCUGUCCACCAAAACAUCCCGACCCUGCACCUAUAGCUCCUGCCACAGCCCCAUCCAUUUCCUAUUCACCGCCUGGACCAAGAUCCCCAACCUCAUCUCCCAGCUCUCCAAAUGCAAAGAGAGCUGUCCAGCAAAACAUCCACGGACCCGCAAAGGUGGAAAAAAGGUCAACCCAAAAAACUGCAAUUACCACGACUCAAUGGGAAGUUACCCAUAUUCUAAAAUCUGCACGGAAAGAGUUUGAGAUGGGGUAAAGGAGGUGAAUGUGAGGUGGCUGCCAUGCCCCAAAUGCAAUUUGAGGUGGAAAGAUUCCUGGGUCCCUAAAACAGAGCUGGAAUAAUCCGGACAGAGGAGGAUGCAGCUUAUAUUUCUGCUUGUUUGACGUGUAAUUUGUUAUUUUAGAUGUUAUUGUAUAUUGUGUUAAGG